AGGGCAAGAUGCUGCUCCCCAUAUUCAAGAUUUGCCUCAUGAUAAGGAUAUUUUUGGGGAAGAAGCUUCACUUAAGAAGUGAGAGUGCAGGGGUUCCCUCAGACAGAAAACCCCAUCUCAGAGAUACCAAACCAAAAUCACGGUGAAAGAAACAGCAGAUUGUGGGCAAGGGUAUUGGCAAAGAGAAAAGAAAAUAAGGAAGAGAGUAAAACAAAAAAUUUGUAAAAGCAUUCUGAUAUGGAUUGGGAGUGUGCUUCUGAGUGUGAUCCUCUUCGUGCCAUGGCCUUGGGCUUCUCUCCACAUGUGGCAAAGUAAUCAGCUCAGUGGUGCAGGCAAGUGGUCGUGAGCAAUUGCAGCCAAAUUCUGCAAUCCAGAAGUAUCUUCAUAUGAAAGAACUACCAGCUUCCAUGGACUUCACUUAAGAGGUCAGCAUGUUUAGGCUUAAUAUAUAGAAGACAGGAGAUAUAUACAUACCAUGAGGCAAGCAAGUAAGAAGAAAGCUGAAAAAAGAUAUUGUAUUUAGUAUUCUCACGAUGAACUAUCAAUUUAAAAAUUCGUGGUCAAAAGACUGGCUUUUGUCCCAUGACCUUUGAUGCAUGCACACAUACAGCUGGUAAUAAAAGUUUUGCAACAUGAA